rnacentral:pre_miRNA from 1 species
GCGUGACGCCAACAGGCUGGAGAAGGCUGGAGCCACAGAUUCUGUGGCUCCAGCCUUCUCCAGCCUGUUGGCGUAAGCG